rnacentral:rRNA from 1 species
AUUGAACGCUGGCGGCAGGCUUAACACAUGCAAGUCGAGCGGGGUGAGGUGCUUCGGUACUGAUCCUAGCGGCGGACGGGUGAGUAAUGCUUAGGAAUCUGCCUAUUAGUGGGGGACAACAUUCCGAAAGGAAUGCUAAUACCGCAUACGUCCUACGGGAGAAAGCAGGGGAUCUUCGGACCCUGCGCUAAUAGAUGAGCCCGCGUUGGAUUAGCUAGUUGGUGGGGUAAAGGCCUACCAAGGCGACGAUCCAUAGCUGGUCUGAGAGGAUGAUCAGCCACAUUGGGACUGAGACACGGCCCAAACUCCUACGGGAGGCAGCAGUGGGGAAUUUUGGACAAUGGGCGCAAGCCUGAUCCAGCCAUGCCGCGUGAGUGAAGAAGGCCUUCGGGUUGUAAAGCUCUUUCAGACGGAAAGAAAACGCCCCUGUUAAUACCGGGGGCGGAUGACGGUACUGUCAGAAGAAGCACCGGCUAACUACGUGCCAGCAGCCGCGGUAAGAC